rnacentral:rRNA from 3 species
GAGUUUGAUCAUGGCUCAGAUUGAACGCUGGCGGCAUGCCUUACACAUGCAAGUCGAACGGCAGCACGGGAGCUUGCUCCUGGUGGCGAGUGGCGAACGGGUGAGUAAUGCAUCGGAACGUAUCCUGGAGUGGGGGAUAACGUAGCGAAAGUUACGCUAAUACCGCAUAUUCUGUGAGCAGGAAAGCGGGGGACCUUCGGGCCUCGCGCUCUUGGAGCGGCCGAUGUCGGAUUAGCUAGUUGGUGAGGUAAAGGCUCACCAAGGCGACGAUCCGUAGCAGGUCUGAGAGGAUGAUCUGCCACACUGGAACUGAGACACGGUCCAGACUCCUACGGGAGGCAGCAGUGGGGAAUUUUGGACAAUGGGGGCAACCCUGAUCCAGCCAUGCCGCGUGAGUGAAGAAGGCCUU